UUUUUUUUUCCAUUUGUGCGCUGACCCCUUUAUCUCACUUUUCACUUCUUCUUCUUCUUCUUCUGUUCUUCUCUUUUUCCCUCUUGAACUACAAUGGUAAAAGUCAUGUGUUUAUUUAUGCAUAGAAGGUGGAAGAACACAUUAAAGCUGCGAUUUUUAUCUCAAAAAAUCCAAGAGUACAGAGAAGGUGGAAGAACACAUUAGAGCUGCGAUUUUUAUCUCAAAAAAUCCAAGAGUACAGACAAGGUGAAAGAACACAUUAAAGCUGCCAUUCUUAUCUCAAAAACUCCAUGACUACAGGUUCGUAAACACAAAAGCUUAAAUUUUUUUGGGUGUUCUGCCUUUAUUUUGUUUUUUUUUCAUUUGUGCGCUGACCCCUUUCUCUCACUUCUCACUUCUUCUUCUUCUUCUCUUUUUCCCUCUUGAACUACAAUGGUAGAAGACGUGUGUUUAUUUAUGCAGAGAAGGUGGAAGAACACAUUAAAACUGCAAUUUUUAUCUCAAAAAAUCCAAGAGUACAGAGAAGGUAGAAGAACACAUUAAAGUUGAGAUUUUUAUCUCAAAAACUUCAUGAGUACAGGUUCGUUAACAUAAAAGCUUAAAUUUUUUGGGGUGUUCUGCCUUUAUUUUGUUUUCUACAUGAGUACAACGAUACCUUCUUUCUUUUACUAUAUGUCUUCCCUUUUAUAUACAUUUUUCCCUUUAUGCUUCCUGACCUUUUACUAUGUGUGGACACCUUAAUGUGCUUCUCUUUAUCCCAGCAGAUUUGGUGAGUGGUUACAUUUAAUUUUGCCAAAACAACAAGUGAUGUUACCAUUAGCUUUUCUUCCUUAUUUUUAUCUCUGAUUUUAUCAUUUAUCAUGUAGGAUGAUGUUGUUGGUUGUUUUAAGUACUAUGCCAAGCUUGCAGGAGAAUUGCUGAUUGCAGCUGUGUUCCUAGAAAACCUGUGGAAUUUUGAUUUGGUUCUUUUUUUUUAUAUUAGGUUUUGAUUUUGAUUUUCUAUAGUUAGGAUUCAAAAGAGGUUGUUUAAGUAAAGUAGUUUAGUUGUGUGAUAGUUGUAUCCCCUUCUGCUUUUUAUUGUAAGGGAUGAUAAAUUUUUUACUUUUUACUAAUAUGAAUAUGAAUGAAUGAAUAAAGUUAAGGUGAAAUGUAUUGGUAGCUAUUUGUAUUUUUUGUAAGGCUGUGAUGAGAAGAAGCUGAUUCUUUAUGUUAUUGGAUAAUAUUGUGGAUUG